CAGAGGGUGCAAGCGUUGUUCGGAAUUACUGGGCGUAAAGCGCGCGCAGGCGGAUCCUGCAAGUCAGAAGUGAAAUCUCAUUGCUCAACGAUGAGGCUGCUUUUGAUACUGCGGAUCUGGAGACCGGUAGAGGCUGGUAGAAUUGCAGGUGUAGCGGUGGAAUGCGUAGAGAUCUGCAAGAAUACCCGUGGCGAAGGCGGCCAGCUGGGCCGGUUCUGACGCUGAGGCGCGAAAGCGUGGGGAGCAAACAGGAUUAGAUACCCUGGUAGUCCACGCCGUAAACGAUGGGCACUAGGUGCUGGGGGGAGCGACCCCGUCAGUGCCGCAGCUAACGCGAUAAGUGCCCCGCCUGGGGAGUACGGCCGCAAGGCUG
rnacentral:rRNA from 1 species